AGAGUUUGAUCCUGGCUCAGGAUGAACGCUGGCGGCGUGCCUAACACAUGCAAGUCGAGCGAUCUUCUUCGGAAGAGAGCGGCGGACGGGUGAGUAACGCGCGGGUAACCUGCCUCAUACACAUGGAUAACAUACCGAAAGGUAUGCUAAUACAAGAUGAUAUAAGAGAUUCGCAUGGAUUUUUUAUCAAAGCUCCGGCGGUAUGAGAUGGACCCGCGUCUGAUUAGCUAGUUGGUAAGGUAACGGCUUACCAAGGCGACGAUCAGUAGCCGACCUGAGAGGGUGAUCGGCCACAUUGGAACUGAGACACGGUCCAAACUCCUACGGGAGGCAGCAGUGGGGAAUAUUGCACAAUGGGCGAAAGCCUGAUGCAGCAACGCCGCGUGAGCGAUGAAGGCCUUCGGGUCGUAAAGCUCUGUCCUCAAGGAAGAUAAUGACGGUACUUGAGGAGGAAGCCCCGGCUAACUACGUGCCAGCAGCCGCGGUAAUACGUAGGGGGCUAGCGUUAUCCGGAUUUACUGGGCGUAAAGGGUGCGUAGGUGGUUUCUUAAGUCAGGAGUGAAAGGCUACGGCUCAACCGUAGUAAGCUCUUGAAACUGGGAAACUUGAGUGCAGGAGAGGAAAGUGGAAUUCCUAGUGUAGCGGUGAAAUGCGUAGAUAUUAGGAGGAACACCAGUAGCGAAGGCGGCUUUCUGGACUGUAACUGACACUGAGGCACGAAAGCGUGGGGAGCAAACAGGAUUAGAUACCCUGGUAGUCCACGCCGUAAACGAUGGGUACUAGGUGUCGGGGGUUACCCCCCUCGGUGCCGCGGCUAACGCAUUAAGUACUCCGCCUGGGGAGUACGCUCGCAAGAGUGAAACUCAAAGGAAUUGACGG
rnacentral:rRNA from 1 species